GGGCUCGUGGUCUAGUGGUAUGACGUCUCCCUCACACGGAGAAGGUCGGCGGUUCGAUUCCGCCCGAGCCCA
rnacentral:tRNA from 1 species